UUGGUUUGACAGCUCAUUGUUCCAGCAGCAGAGUCGAUGCGACUACCUGUAUUAUUUUACCUUGAUGGGUUCUUAAUAAGAAGAUCUCUCUCCUACAGACCUCUAUAAAAUUGUAUUUUAAGAGAAGAGUGUAAACCGUUUUCUCUCUAUUUGCCAUGGUUCUUUCAAUCACCACGACUCAUCUAUCAAAAAUAAAUGUGUUGACAUAAAAUUGUGUUUGAUUUUUAAUAAAUUGAAUAUUUUUCAAAAACUGCAGCAGAUUCAAUCAAAUUCACCAUGAUUCCCGGUGUGUGUUUUUCGGUGUUGACAAAUUGUUUCAUACGAUAAAUGCCAUUUAUCACCCGAAAUUUUAAGACAGCCUCUUCAAGUAGUCUCCACCUCAAUUACGUGCAGCGGCAUGGCUCUCAAAAAAUCAAAGAUGAAAAAUGCAAAUCAUCCAUGGAACACAUUAAUAUUGGAUGAAAGAAACCCCAGGUCUAGCUUGCGUAGUAGGCUUUUGUUUUAAUUUAAUUAGCAUGCAUGACUGAAUGUCUGCCCGACUGCCUGACUUUGCGAAAAAGCCCAAUGACAAAUUACUCCAUUCUACCAAAAUAUAUUUUACGCAUUCAAUCAUGGUUGACACAUCAUCACGAGUUGGCGAGUGAGAGAAGGGAAAUACGAUGCAUAACUGCUGGUGAACGAAGAAGGAAACCGGGGAAAACAGUUUCUAGGGAUAUGUCAGUCGACUUUGGAUAUGGCCAAAUAUAAUACCAUGUUCUCAUUGGCAUGUGAUUAACGACAUCAGUAGUCCUAUUCUGUAACUUUUAUCGA